GUCUUUAAAAGUGACCGUCGCAGUAAAGCCGAACGUCGGCAGAAGCAGCGCGUGGUAAAAGUGGUGAUAGCAAGGUCCAGUAAAGCCGAGCGUCGGCAGAGGCAGCGGCGCGUGGUCAACGUAGUGAUAGCAAGGUCCAGUAAAGCCGAGCGUCGGCAGAGGCAGCGGCGCGUGGUCAACGUAGUGAUAGCAAGGUCCAGUACAGCCGAGCGUCGGCAGAGGCAGCAGCGCGUGGUCAACGUAGCGACAGCAAGGCGUAGUGAAGCCUACGCGCGCGUCGGCAGAAGUAGCCGAGCGCAGAAAGCGUAGCACGCGAGAGUGAACGCGUAUAGCAGGGCAGCGACAGGGAGGCCCACACGAGCGCCGGCAGAAGCAGCAGCGCGUGGUCGAAGUGGUGGCAGCAAGUCGUCUAGCACCCAGGAGCGCAGCAGAGCGGGGAAACGGUAUUGCCCUAGCGGAGCACACCGGACCGUUACCCCAACAGCGCCGUCCUCAGGAGACGUCCUGUGUCGUGGGCUAAUAUAUUAUAUUAGAUAUUUAGUUGAGUUGAAUAAAUAAAGAAACGGUUCGCAGAGGAGCCCCAACAUUUACAAAUUUAUUGUAACGAACCCUGGA